UAAGGAUGCCAUGAAAACCUGUCACUCCACUAAUGGCACAAAAUGCCAUUUCCCAUUUCCACGUACAGUUUCGUCUGGGAUGAACCCAAAGUGAUGUAGAUACAGGUGAAGUGAAAUAAAACAAGAAUGCGCUAUGGAUUUUAGCACCCGAAAGAAUGCCCAUCUCUACAUAGGGUGUGGAUAUGAAGAAAUCAUCCAUACAAUAGGGAAAAGACUCUAAUUGUGCAGCAGAUGAUGACCUGAAACUCAAUGUAUUGCCCAAAUCUGGGACUUGUGACCCCAUUGCAUUGUUUCCACAACAGGUCUGGGAGAACUCCAAAUAAGCACACCUUUAAACCGGGGAGCUGUAACUAGGUUGUGUACUUCUUCUGUGUGCAUUAUACAUAAGGGCGUGUAAAACCCCAGCAGAAGUGCAUAAUACUAAGUACCCUCUCACCUAUGUUCUAUAACUGAAUGUCUUCGUGGUUGUUUACUAUUUUGGAAUGAAGCAGCUUCUGGGUAAAAGAUGUGGGGACAAAGUCUUUCUUUACUUUCCUUCCUAUUUUACAGUUCAUCUUUCCUUUGCUACACCCUAUAUAAUGAACAUUAAGACAUAAGAUUUCCGUUUUAAAAAUUCUUGUGAGGACACUGUGAGAAACUUAAAUAAAAAGUGCUAUCUAUGCAAAGACGCACUAUUUUCCUUUAUUCCAAAGCCUGUCAUUUGUGUAGAUGAGUGUUCCUUGCACACCCAUGUUCUGAACUCUAACUCAGAUUAUUUUACAUCUUGUAUCCAUCAAGGGUUGGAAAAUGAUUUAAUUUAGCCCCUUGUUUGUGCACCUCUGACUGCUAAACUUUCCACCUUCAGAUUAUAAUUUAUAUCCUUUUCAGACAGUACAAAUUUGUACAACAUUUUUGGU